AUUGAACGCUGGCGGCAGGCUUAACACAUGCAAGUCGAGCGGAGAUGAGGUGCUUGCACCUUAUCUUAGCGGCGGACGGGUGAGUAAUGCUUAGGAAUCUGCCUAUUAGUGGGGGACAACAUUCCGAAAGGAAUGCUAAUACCGCAUACGUCCUACGAGAGAAAGCAGGGGAUCUUCGGACCUUGCGCUAAUAGAUGAGCCUAAGUCGGGUUAGUUAGUUGGUGGGGUAAAGGCCUACCAAGGCGACGAACUGUAGCGGGUCUGAGAGGAUGAUCCGCCACACUGGGACUGAGACACGGCCCAGACUCCUACGGGAGGCAGCAGUGGGGAAUAUUGGACAAUGGGGGGAACCCUGAUCCAGCCAUGCCGCGUGUGUGAAGAAGGCCUUAUGGUUGUAAAGCACUUUAAGCGAGGAGGAGGCUACUGAGACUAAUACUCUUGGAUAGUGGACGUUACUCGCAGAAUAAGCACCGGCUAACUCUGUGCCAGCAGCCGCCGCAGUAA
rnacentral:rRNA from 1 species